GGGCGUUUUAAUCCUAUUUAUAUAUAACCCGAAAGUUUUUGAGCUCUCUUGAAACGAACCUCUCCGAGGAUACGAAUACCGUGUCAAUUAAGCCGGAAACAUCAUUUCAAAUUUGGAGCUCUUCUUUGCCAGUGAAACACUGUCAUAGCUGGGAAUUAUACAGAUACCAUGCAGGACGGUUACACAAAUUUAUUAUACAAUAAAUUCUUAAACUGCUGGUAAAAUGAUGGAAGUCAUAAAUCAUCCAUGGUUGACAUUCCAUCUCGCUUAUUAUUACUUGGACAGUCCCACUUUUGGAGGGCAGAGAACGAACCCGCUUUUGUUUUGCAUACUAUGAUGUAUAGUAUAUUUGGAUCAUGAACACGGACCGGCGAACAACAAAGACGAGACCACAGAACCUCCGUUUUAUUGUCGUGUGCCCUCCUGAAGAGCAUCUAGAACAUCUCGCACGGCCGUGCUUAGGUCAUACUGGGUACGGCCUCCCUUCAAUCUUGUUUCCUUUUUAUUUCCGCAACGUUUCACCAAGGGUAGAAAGGA
rnacentral:sRNA from 2 species